UAACCCCAAAUCACCCCCAAAUCCCCUCCAGGUGAUCUCAGGUGUGCUCAGGUGUGCUCAGGUGACCCCGGACCCACCUCCAGGUGCCUCCAGGUGCCUCCAGGUGAUCUCAGGUGAUCCCAGGUGUGCUCAGGUGCGCCCAGGUGACCCCGGACCCACCUCCAGGUGCCUCCAGGUGAUCUCAGGUGCGCACAGGUGACACCAAACCCCCCUAAACCCCCCUCAGGUGAGCACAGGUAACCCCAAAACGCCCCCAACCCCCCCCCCCCCCCCCCCCCCCCCCCCCCCCCCCCCCCCCCCCCCCCCCCCCCCCCCCCCCCCCC
rnacentral:lncRNA from 12 species